rnacentral:sRNA from 1 species
GCUGGGUGUGGUGAUGCACGCCUGUAAUCCUAGCGGCUCAGGAGGCUGAGGCAGGAGGAUGAGUUCACUAAGCAACUAAGCAACUCAGUGACACCCUGUCUCUA